rnacentral:rRNA from 1 species
UACGUAGGGUGCGAGCGUUGUCCGGAAUUACUGGGCGUUAAGCGCUCGUAGGUGGUUUGUCGCGUUGGUCGUGAAAACCGGGGGCUUAACACUCGGCGUGCGGGCGAUACGGGCAGACUUGAGUACUGCAGGGGAGACUGGAAUUCCUGGUGUAGCGGUGGAAUGCGCAGAUAUCAGGAGGAACACCGGUGGCGAAGGCGGGUCUCUGGGCAGUAACUGACGCUGAGGAGCGAAAGCGUGGGGAGCGAACAGG